rnacentral:lncRNA from 1 species
CUCUGGCAAAGAAGGCAGUGCUUAGCCUUAUGCAAGGUGAGGGCAGUGCCUAGCCCUAUGCAAGGAACGGAGACAAUGCUUAGUCUCAUGCAAAGAAAGGCAACGUUUAGCCUUAUUCAAUGGUUAGGGCAGUGUUUAGCCCUAUGCAAAGAGUGGAAACAAUGAUUAGUCUAAUGUAGGAAAGGAGACAAUAUCUAGUCUCAUGCAAGGAAAGGAGACAAUGCUUAGUGUCUGGAAAGGAAAGGCAAUGCUUAGCCUUAUACAAGGUGAGGGUGGUGCCUAGCCCAUAUGCAAGGAGUGGAGACAAUGCUUAGUCUCUUGCAGGGAAAGGAGACCGCGCUUAGCCUCUGGCAAAGAAGACAGUGCUUAUCCUUUUGCAAGGUGAGGGCAGUGCAUAGCCCUAUGCAAGGAGUGGAGACAAUGCUUAGUCUCAUGCAAAGAAAGGCAGUGCUUAGUCUUAUGCAACCAAACUUCGAUCCGUUAACCAUCCAAACUCCACUGGAGGGUCCUGGGACCUCAACCAAACAUACCAACAAGUCCUAAAAUAUGACACAAACUUAGUUAAGGCCUCAAAUCACAUCAACCA